GUAGUUUAAAAUUUUUGGUGAUACAGUUAUGGUAUCGAAUUGUGCAAAAAUCCCUGACAGUCCAAUUUAUAUUUCCCCAUUUUUCUUAUGGGGAGUUCAAAUAUGUUGGCUCAUCCCUAUAUGUUAAUAAAAGUGACUUUGGGCUGAGAUGCCAGGCUGAACUGAAGAGCAGCCAUUCCCUGUUUCCGGCUCCACAAGUAACCUCUGGCAGAUAGUUGUGCUCCAAGGCAGGUAGGACUAAUCUGACCUAAACUGUGAGACUGUUUUGUUGUUUUUUGUUUUUUUUUUUUUUAACUGCAGAACUGCUGAGAACUCUCUGCUGCACGUACUGGAAUAGGGAGUGUUCGUUGGAAGGCAUGGGAGAGGCUGCUGGUGUUUGAAAGUAGCUUUACUGCUCCUUGGUGCAGUACAGACUCUGUUCUGGGGGAAGGUAGAAUGUAGGCUUUAACCUAUAUCCUUGCCCACGUCAGCUAGCCUGGGUGGAAAGCAUCGCUGUGGUCUGAUGACAUAAGUGUGUGUGUGUGGGGAGGAAUUAAGGGCAGCAGCUGGGAAAAGCCAGUUCUCGCUCUUCAGUGGAACCCAGUUUGGGAGAGAGCUGCCGUGGAGAAAUGGGAAACCCCCCUUCACGUUGCGGAGGAAGAAGCGGGGGGGGGGGUUGAUGCUUAGCCCUACAGCCUGCGUGGCUAAAAAUGAAUCCCCUGUGAUUUAGGGCAGGCAGCCAGCGGGUUUGUUCUUUGGCCCUGCCCCCUUUACCUCCUCCCAGUGUGUAAUUAUCAAAGCUUGUAGGAAAGGACUGAAGUUCGUUAUAAGAAUGAAUGGCUGUGGCAAUAUCAGAUGCCAAGGAGAUUCAGUAUUAUUUGUGAAUAGUGGACUUGGAAAAAAAAAAAGAAUUCUAAAAUUUUAUUUUGAUUCAGAAUAUAGAUGCUAUUUAGGUAUGCUUGAAUCAAGGGCUACACAUCUGGAGUACUGUGUCCAGUUCUGGGCUUCUUAUUACAAGAAAGACAUGGACCUACUGUAGCGAGUCAGCAAAGGGCCACAGAGAUGUUAAGGGACUGAAGCAUCUCUCCUAUGAGGAGAGGCUGAAAGAGCUGGGACUGUUCAGCCUGGAGAAGAGAAGUCUUGGGGGGAGCUUAGUGUGUGUAAAUACCUGAAGGGAGGUUGUAAAGAAGUUGGAGCCAGACCUUUCUCAGUGGUGCCCAGUGACAGGACAAGAGGCAAUGGGCGCAAAUUAAAGCACAGGAAAUUCCAUCUGAACAUCAGAAGACAUUUCUUCACUGUGAGGAUGGUUGAACACUGAAACGGGUUGCCCAGAGAGGUUGUGGAGUCUCCAUCCUUGGAGAUAUUCAGAAUUCGACUGGACGUGGCCCUCAGCAACCUGCUCUAGCAGACCCUCCUUGAGCAGAUGAUCUCCAAAGGUCCCUGCCAACUCAGCUGUUCUGUGAUUCUGUGCAACAUGUACCUUGCUGAAUUGUUUUUGUUAAAGCUGUGUAACUAUUCAGUGGCUCAUCCAGGUCUCUUCCUCCCUCUCCUUGCUUCAUUAUUUAUUAAGCUUAGUAGCGAUACUGACUGUGAAAAGUUCCCAAAGCUAUGGUUGUAACCUGAACACUCCAGUACUACAUGCAGAAAAUCUGCCAGCCUAAAACUUAGGCUCUGUUGUCCAAACUUGACUAUGCCAGGCCCAAAUAAAAGUACACACUUUUCU
ensembl:lncRNA